AGCAGCAUGGCGCAGUGGUAGCGCGCGGGGCCCAUAUCCCCAAAACAAAAAGGAUUAGAACCCCGAGGUCACUUGAUCGAAACAAGUUGCUGCUA